rnacentral:rRNA from 1 species
AGGUUGGCUUAGAAGCAGCCAUCCCUUGAACGAGUGCGUAACAGCUCACUGGUCAAGUCGUCAUGCGCCGACAAUGUAACGGGGCUAUGUUGUGUACCGAAGCUACGAAUAUUUUUAAUAUGGUAGACGAACAUUCCGUAAGCUAAUGAAGGUGUAUCGUGAGGUAUGCUGGAGGUAUCGGAAGAGAAAAUGCAGGCAUGAGUAACGAAAAAGGGGGUGAGAGUCCCCCUCGCCGAAAGCCGAAGGUUUCCUGGGUAAAGGUCGUCUUCCCAGGGUUAGUCGGCACCUAAGCCGAGAUCGAAAGAUGUAGGCGAUGGACAACGGGUUCAUAUUCCCGUACCUUUGUAUGACUUCAAGUGGAGUGACGCAUGAGGUGAAAUCCGGCUGGGCGACGGUUGUCCCAGUAUAAGCAAUAAGCCGCUAAGGCAUGUAGGCAAAUCCGCAUGCUAAGGUAAGUUGUUACAUCGAGCUGAGCUACGGCAAUGCGAAGCGGGUUGAAUCACGGUGACAAGAAAUAGCUUCUCAGUUAUAUCAUACAGAGACCGUACCGUAAACCAACACAGGUCGGCAAGAUGAGUAUUCUCAGGCGCGCGGGAGAACUCGCGUUAAGGAACUCGGCAAAAUACACACGUAACUUCGGGAUAAGUGUGGCCUCUGAGGGAUCGCAAGAUUUUGAGGAGGUUGCAGAUAAGAGACUCAGGCGACUGUUUACCAAAAACAUAGGUCUCUGCUAAGCAGUAAUGCGCAGUAUAGGGACUGACACCUGCCCGGUGCUGGAAGGUUAAGAGGAGCGGUUAGCGUAAGCGAAGCUGCAAAUUGAAGCCCCAGUAAACGGCGGCCGUAACUAUAACGGUCCUAAGGUAGCGAAAUUCCUUGUCGGGUAAGUUCCGACCUGCACGAAUGGCGUAACGAUGGCCACACUGUCUCCACCCGAGACUCAGUGAAAUUGAAAUGAGUGUGCUGAUGCACCCUACCCGCUGUUAGACGGAAAGACCCCGUGCACCUUUACUGCAGCUUUGCAUUGAGUUUUGAAUAGGUUUGUGUAGGAUAGGUGGGAGGCGAUGAAGCCGAGGCGCCAGCUUCGGUGGAGCCAUCCUUGAAAUACCACCCUGAUUUAUUUGGAACCCUAACCUAGCCCCGUUAUCCGGGGCGGGGACCAUGCAUGGCGGGCAGUUUGACUGGGGCGGUCUCCUCCCAAAGAGUAACGGAGGAGCGCAAAGGUAUGCUUCGCUCGGUCGGAAAUCGAGCUGGACGUGCAAUGACAAAAGCAUGCUUGACUGCAAGAGUGACGGCUCAAGCAGGUGCGAAAGCAGGUCAUAGUGAUCCGGUGGCGCUUUAUGGAAGGGCCAUCGCUCAACGGAUAAAAGGUACGCCGGGGAUAACAGGCUAAUUCCUCCCAAGAGUCCACAUCGACGGAGGAGUUUGGCACCUCGAUGUCGGCUCAUCACAUCCUGGGGCUGUAGCAGGUCCCAAGGGUAUGGCUGUUCGCCAUUUAAAGUGGUACGUGAGCUGGGUUUAGAACGUCGUGAGACAGUUCGGUCCCUAUCUGCAGUGGGCGCUGGAAAUUUGAAGGGAUCUGCUCCUAGUACGAGAGGACCGGAGUGGACGAACCUCUGGUGUACCGGUUGUCGCGCCAGCGGCAUUGCCGGGUGGCUAUGUUCGGAAUGGAUAACCGCUGAAAGCAUCUAAGUGGGAAGCCAACCCUGAGACGAGAUUUCCCGAGGGCUUGACCCUCCUGAAGACCCCUUGAAGACGACGAGGUUGAUAGGUCGGAUGUGGAAGUGCGGCAACGCAUUAAGCUAACCGAUACUAAUUGGUCGUGCGGCUUGGUUCC